UACGAAGGGGGCUAGCGUUGCUCGGAAUUACUGGGCGUAAAGCGCACGUAGGCGGCUUUCUAAGUCGGGGGUGAAAUCCUGGAGCUCAACUCCAGAACUGCCUUCGAUACUGGAGAGCUCGAGUCCGGGAGAGGUGAGUGGAACUGCGAGUGUAGAGGUGAAAUUCGUAGAUAUUCGCAAGAACACCAGUGGCGAAGGCGGCUCACUGGCCCAUAACUGACGCUGAGGCACGAAAGCGUGGGGAGCAAACAGG
rnacentral:rRNA from 1 species